UACGUAGGGUGCAAGCGUUAUUCGGAAUUACUGGGCGUAAAGCGUGCGCAGGCGGUUAUGUAAGACAGAUGUGAAAUCCCCGGGCUCAACCUGGGAACUGCAUUUGAGACUGCAUAGCUAGAGUACGGUAGAGGGGGAUGGAAUUCCGCGUGUAGCAGUGAAAUGCGUAGAUAUGCGGAGGAACACCGAUGGCGAAGGCAAUCCCCUGGACCUGUACUGACGCUCAUGCACGAAAGCGUGGGGAGCAAACAGG
rnacentral:rRNA from 1 species